AACGAACGCUGGCGGCAGGCCUAACACAUGCAAGUCGAACGCCGUAGCAAUACGGAGUGGCAGACGGGUGAGUAACACGUGGGAACAUGCCCUCGUUCGGAAUAACUCAGGGAACUUGAGCUAAUACCGAAUACGUCCGCGAGGAGAAAGAUUCAUCGCCGGAGGAUUGGCCCGCGUCCGAUUAGCUAGUUGGUGAGGUAACGGCUCACCAAGGCGACGAUCGGUAGCUGGCUGAGAGGAUGAUCAGCCACCAUUGGGACGUGAGACACGGCCCAAACUACCUACGGGAGGCAGCAGU
rnacentral:rRNA from 1 species